UUUCUUCUGACAAAUGAACAAGUGUUGCUUAUGCCAGGCAAGUUUAAAAGAUAGGGGGUUCUCCUACUGCAGAGCAACAAGCUGCUACACGUCUCUUGCAACUGUGGGAACAGCGGAAUUUACAAUGUAAGCGUUUUGUUUCAUAUUUUGUGAACUAUGUGCCUUCACCUCAAGUCUUUGCUGUAGAUUCAUUGUAGCACAGAAAUACUGCAGAACUAACAGAAAUUCAGUGGAGGGGAUGGGGG
rnacentral:lncRNA from 1 species